GGGCGACGGUUGUSMCGGUUUAAGCAUGUAGGCGGAGGUUCCAGGUAAAUCCGGUACCUUUUAACGCUGAGAUGUGAUGACGAGGCACUACGGUGCUGAAGUAACAAAUGCCCUGCUUCCAGGAAAAGCCUCUAAGCAUCAGGUAACAUCAAAUCGUACCCCAAACCGACACAGGUGGUCAGGUAGAGAAUACCAAGGCGCUUGAGAGAACUCGGGUGAAGGAACUAGGCAAAAUGGUGCCGUAACUUCGGGAGAAGGCACGCUGGUGUGUAGGUGAAGUCCCUGCGGACGGAGCUGAGACCAGUCGAAGAUACCAGCUGGCUGCAACUGUUUAUUAAAAACACAGCACUGUGCAAACACGAAAGUGGACGUAUACGGUGUGACGCCUGCCCGGUGCCGGAAGGUUAAUUGAUGGKKUUAUCCGUAAGGAGAAGCUCUUGAUCGAAG
rnacentral:rRNA from 1 species